GAUUGAACGCGUGGCGGCAUGCCUUACACAUGCAAGUCGAGCGGCAGCGCGGGGGCAACCCUGGCGGCGAGCGGCGGACGGGUGAGUAAUGCAUCGGAACGUGUCCUCGUUGUGGGGGAUAACCAGUCGAAAGACUGGCUAAUACCGCAUGAGCUCGUAAGAGGAAAGCAGGGGACCCGCAAGGGCCUUGCGCGAGAGGAGCGGCCGAUGCCCGAUUAGCAGUUGGCGGGGUAAAAGCCCACCAAGGCGACGAUCGGUAGCUGGUCUGAGAGGACGACCAGCCACACUGGGACUGAGACACGGCCCAGACUCC
rnacentral:rRNA from 1 species